rnacentral:rRNA from 1 species
UUAAUACCGGAUAGAUCAAAGAAACUGGAAUGCUCUCUGGUCUAAAACUCCGGUGCCCAAGGAUGGGUCUGCGGCCUAUCAGGUAGUAGUGGGUGUAACGUACCUACUAGCCAGCGACGGGUAAGGGUUGUGAGAGCAAGAUCCCUGAGAUGGAUUCUGAGACAUGAAUCCAGGCCCUACGGGGUGCAGCAGGCGCGAAAACUUUACACUGCGGGAAACCGCGAUAAGGGGACCCCGAGUGCCAGCACCUAGUGUUGGCUGUCCUACUGUCUAAAUAACAGUGGUUAGCAAGGGCCGGGCAAGACCGGUGCCAGCCGCCGCGGUAACACCGGCGGCCCGAGUGGUAACCGUUUUUAUUGGGUUUAAAGGGUCCGUAGCCGGCUUACUAAGUCUCUUGGGAAAUCUGGCGGCUCAAUCGUCAGGCGUUCA